rnacentral:rRNA from 1 species
GGCUACACGCGUGCUACAAUGGGUAGAACAGAGAGUCGCAAAGCUGUGAAGUGGAGCUAAUCUCAGAAAACUAUUCUUAGUUCGGAUUGUACUCUGCAACUCGAGUACAUGAAGUUGGAAUCGCUAGUAAUCGCGAAUCAGCAAUGUCGCGGUGAAUACGUUCUCGGGUCUUGUACACACCGCCCGUCACACCACGAGAGUUGGUUGCACCUGAAGUAGCAGGCCUAACCGUAAGGAGGGAUGCUCCGAGGGUGUGAUUAGCGAUUGGGGUGAAGUCGUAACAAGGUAUCCGUACGGGAACGU